rnacentral:lncRNA from 1 species
ACUGCAGGUAGACUUCGUCCGGGCUCUUAUGGGAGCUGGACUUUCAUCCUGAACUCCUGUUGCAGGUAGACCUCACCCCGAACUCCUACGAGAGUCGGACUCCGAGCUCCUACCGCAAGCGACCCACCUCGAGUUUUUGCUACAAACGAUCUACUUCAAAUUUCUACCAUGAGCGGCCCGUGCCGGAUUCCCACCGUAAGCCUUCAUUCGA